AUUGAACGCUGGCGGCAGGCCUAACACAUGCAAGUCGAACGGUAGCACAGAGAGCUUGCUCUCGGGUGACGAGUGGCGGACGGGUGAGUAAUGUCUGGGAAACUGCCUGAUGGAGGGGGAUAACUACUGGAAACGGUAGCUAAUACCGCAUAACGUCGCAAGACCAAAGAGGGGGACCUUCGGGCCUCUUGCCAUCAGAUGUGCCCAGAUGGGAUUAGCUAGUAGGUGGGGUAAUGGCUCACCUAGGCGACGAUCCCUAGCUGGUCUGAGAGGAUGACCAGCCACACUGGAACUGAGACACGGUCCAGACUCCUACGGGAGGCAGCAGUGGGGAAUAUUGCACAAUGGGCGCAAGCCUGAUGCAGCCAUGCCGCGUGUAUGAAGAAGGCCUUCGGGUUGUAAAGUACUUUCAGCGGGGAGGAAGCUGUUGUGGUUAAUAACCGCAGCAAUUGACGUUACCCGCAGAAGAAGCACCGGCUAACUCCGUGCCAGCCGCCGCAGUAAUAC
rnacentral:rRNA from 1 species